GGGCAGGUAGCUCAGCUGGUUAGAGCACCACGUUGACAUCGUGGGGGUCGGAGGUUCGAGUCCUCUCCUGCCCA
rnacentral:tRNA from 2 species